GGAAGGGGUGUAUUUAUUAGAUAAAAAACCAAUGCGGUUCGCCGCUCCAUUGGUGAUUCAUAAUAACUCCUCGAAUCGCACGGCCUUGUGCUGGCGAUGCUUCAUUCAAAUAUCUGCCCUAUCAACUUUCGAUGGUAGGAUAGUGGCCUACCAUGGUUUCAACGGGUAACGGGGAAUAAGGGUUCGAUUCCGGAGAGGGAGCCUGAGAAACGGCUACCACAUCCAAGGAAGGCAGCAGGCGCGCAAAUUACCCAAUCCCGACACGGGGAGGUAGUGACAAUAAAUAACAAUAUAGGGCUCUUUUGGGUCUUAUAAUUGGAAUGAGUACAAUUUAAAUCUCUUAACGAGGAACAAUUGGAGGGCAAGUCUGGUGCCAGCAGCCGCGGUAAUUCCAGCUCCAAUAGCGUAUAUUAAAGUUGUUGCAGUUAAAAAGCUCGUAGUUGAACUUCAGAUCUGGUUGAGUGGUCCGCCUAACGGUGUGUUACUGCUUGACUGGGUCUUGUCUCUUGGUGAACCGUUGUGUUCUUUAUUGAAUGCUUCGGGGAACCAGGACUUUUAC
rnacentral:rRNA from 1 species